rnacentral:rRNA from 1 species
GACGAACGCUGGCGGCGUGCUUAACACAUGCAAGUCGAACGGAAAGGCCCUGCUUUUGUGGGGUGCUCGAGUGGCGAACGGGUGAGUAACACGUGAGUAACCUGCCCUUGACUUUGGGAUAACUUCAGGAAACUGGGGCUAAUACCGGAUAGGAGCUCCUGCUGCAUGGUGGGGGUUGGAAAGUUUCGGCGGUUGGGGAUGGACUCGCGGCUUAUCAGCUUGUUGGUGGGGUAGUGGCUUACCAAGGCUUUGACGGGUAGCCGGCCUGAGAGGGUGACCGGCCACAAUGGGCCUGAGGUACGGACCAGACUCCUACGGGAGGCAGCAGUGGGGAAUAUUGCACAAUGGGCGGAAGCCUGAUGCAGCAACGCCGCGUGCGGGAUGACGGCCUUCGGGUUGUAAACCGCUUUCGCCUAUGACGAAGCGUGAGUGACGGUAAUGGGUAAAGAAGCACCGGCUAACUACGUG